rnacentral:rRNA from 1 species
ACAGAUGUGAAAGACCCGGGGCGUCAACCUCGGAAUUGCAUUUGUAAACUAGGCGAAACUAGAGUACUGUAGAGGGGGGUAGGAAUUUCAGGUGUAGCGGUGAAAUAGCGUAGAGAUCUGAAGGAAUACCGGUGGCGAAGGCGGCCCCCUCGGACAGAUACUGACACUCAGAUGCGAAAGCGUGGGGAGCAAACAGGAUUAGAUACCCUGGUAG